GCUGCGAUAGCUUAGUGGUCAUGGUCGCGGACUGACGUUCGCCGAGUCGGCUGUUCGACUCCAGAGGCCAUUAAAUAUCCGCCUUGUAGCG